AAAAUUAAAAUAUAAUUCAAUGAAUUUAAUUAAAAUAAAUAAAAUAAAAAAGUAAAUGAAAUCAUAGCAAAAAGACGUGGUAUUAGGUCAUUUGUCCUAUAUGCGCAAAUCAAAAUCGGGCAGAUUUUUCCUCGGAGUAGAGCAUAAACCUAAAAAAAUUGAAUAAAAAAUUGAUGAAACCCAUUCAGGAACAAGAAAAUGACAUCGUGAUUUGGAUUGAAUCCCAAUGAAAAAAAAAAUAGAUCAAUGAAAAGUUUGUGCGAUAAGUUUAGCGAAUUUUUUCUAUAUUAUAGGAAAACGGGCCAAAACUCAUCUUUCUUUAAUUUUAUUUUGAAUUUCAUUUGAUUUAAAAAUGUAAGAAAAAACCUCUUCAUUAGAAAUUAGAAGUUAGAAAAGGCCCACUAGAAAAAAUGAAGGAUGGCUUGGAAUCUACACAUUAAUUUUUUUCGCAAUUUUGUUGAACUGUAUGCAUCAAAAGGUGCCUGUACGGCUACUAAGGGAUACAAUUUUAUCCUAAUCAACCGACUUUAUCGAGAAAGAUUACUUUUUUAGGCUAAGGGGUUGAUAGCGAGAUCUCGAAUCAACUUAUUGGUCUUAUGGUAUACCUCAGUAUAGAGAAUGAUACCAAAGAUCUGUAUUGUUUAUAAACUCUCCUGGCGGAUGGGUAAUACCCGGAGUAGCCAUUUAUGAUACUAUGCAAUUUGUGCAACCAGAUGUGCAUACAAUAUGCAUGGGAUUGGCCGCUUCAAUGGGAUCUUUUCUCCUGGCCGGAGGAGAAAUUACCAAA